UUACUGACACAGAUCCGUGAGAGCUCGAGAUGCUGCUCCCUGGCUCCCAUCUGAGAUUCCUCUGUCGAGUAUCACACCCACGAACUGAGCCACAGCCAUUUCCUUUGGCCUUGACACAGGCUUAGAAGAGCUACAGCAGCUGUAACUGACAAAGCUAUGGUUUCUGCAGGUGCCUGGUUAACACACCCUCAUG